rnacentral:tRNA from 1 species
GCCUUCGUAGCUCAGUGGACAGAGCACCAGGUUCCGAACCUGAAGGUCGCUGGUUCGAGUCCAGCCGGGGGUA